CUGCAUCCCUUACAAGCAUACACAGCUGCCUGCCCUUUUGCCUUGUGUCCAUCCUGGAGCGGCCUUCUGCAAGAUUCUAUGUUACCUGUCCUCGGUCCACUUGGAAUCUCUUGAGAGAGCCGAGUCCUGUGUGUUCCUAGGCCCUGCCACAGGGACCUGGACGCCCUGCGUGUUGAGGCAAGUUUGUGGAUGUCCCGGGCCUUAUGGUCCCUGCUUCGCAUGAUGUAGGGCAGCAUCCAUCUGAACGCUCAUCACUACCAAGGCCAAGGUUUUGGAAGGAAGUCCUUCUUCUCCCAUCUUAGUAUUAGGCCAUCGGAUUUGGGACACGGGACUAAGGCCGCUGACUCUGCAUCCCUUACAAGCAUACACAGCUGCCUGCCCUUUUGCCUUGUGUCCAUCCUGGAGCGGCCUCCUGCAAGAUUCUAUGUUACCUGUCCUCGGUCCACUUGGAAUCUCUUGAGAGAGCCGAGUCCUAUGUGUUCCUAGGCCCUGCCAC